rnacentral:rRNA from 1 species
UACCAGCACCCCGAGUGGUCGGGACGUUUAUUGGGCCUAAAGCAUCCGUAGCCGGUUCUACAAGUCUUCCGUUAAAUCCACCUGCUUAACAGAUGGGCUGCGGAAGAUACUAUAGAGCUAGGAGGUCGGGAGAGGCAAGCGGUACUCGAUGGGUAGGGGUAAAACCCGUUGAUCCAUUGAAGACCACCAGUGGCGAAGGCGGCUUGCCAGAACGCGCUCGACGGUGAGGGAUGAAAGCUGGGGGAGCAAACCGG